CGCUUUUUGAAACAAAAAUGUAAAAAGUCGGACCUGCCCAGUGAUAUAUAAUUUAACGGCCGCAGUACUCUGACUGUGCAAAGGUAGCAUAAUCAUUUGCCUUAUAAUUAAAGGCUAGUAUGAAUGGUUUGACGAAAAUGAUGCUGUCUCUUUUUAAUUUUAUAGAACUUGAUUUUUGGGUGAAGAAGCCUAAAUUAAAUUGAAAGACAAGAAGACCCUAUCGAGCUUAAAAAAAUUUUAUUAAAAUAUAUGAUAUAAGAUCAAUUAUAAUAAAAAAUUUUAGUUGGGGCGACUACGGAACAAGUAAAGCUUCCGUUAUUAUAUUAAAAGCUUUUUAGCCAUGAUCCAAAAUUUUUGAUUAAAAGAAUUAGUUACCGUAGGGAUAACAGCAUAAUCUUUUUUGAGAGUUCUUAUCGAAAAAAAGGUUUGUGACCUCGAUGUUGGACUAGAAUAUCCUAAAGAUGCAGAAGUCUCUAAGGGUUGGUCUGUUCGACCAUUAAUAUUCUACGUGAUCUGAGUUCAGACCGG
rnacentral:rRNA from 1 species